rnacentral:rRNA from 1 species
UAGAGUUUGAUCCUGGCUCAGAAUGAACGCUGGCGGCAGGCUAAAUACUUGCAGUCCUAGGGCAAUCAUUGUUGUCAAUACUCGCUAUCUACCGGCAGACAAGGGCGGAGCACCAAGCUGAACCUUCUGACAAGUGGAGAAUAACCCCCAGAAGAUAUGGAUGAUUACCGCUUAACAUGAUGACGUGACAUCAUUUUAGUAAUACAGCUUCUUCGCUACUUGAUGGGUGUGCGGCUGAUUAGAUAGUUGGCGGGGUAACGGCCCACCAAGUCUACGAUCAGUACCUGAUGUGAGAGCAUGAUCAGCCACACUGGCACUGAGACCCGAGCCCGACUCCUACGGGAGGCAGCAGUAAGGAAUAUUGGGUCNAUGGACGAAAGUCUGAACCAGCCAUGCCGCUUGAANAAUUAAAGUCCUCUGGAUUGUAAACUUCUUUAAUCUNGGACGAAANAGGAAAUCUUUCACCCUUNACGNUACCAGGUGNAUAACCGCCCGCUNACUCCGUGGCAGCAGCCCCGUUAGAGCCAGGNAGUGCAAGUCGUUUUCUGUAUCGCCUGGUUUGAAGGGACGCGGGGCGGGGUAUUUAAGGCGAUGUUGACAUCCUAGCCGGGGGUGUCAGGCUGCCCUGAGUACCAUUUGGCCUUAAGGUCGGGGAAGAAGACCGCCUGCACGCUCGGACGGCUAGAGGGGUAAAUAGGAGCAGGGGCACGCUGGUCGGGAGUACGUCGACCCGGCUUGUUGGGGCGCGCGGGGGGGGGCCGGAGGGUACCGGCAGAAGGGGUAACGCGCUGAGNAAGGUCGCCGAUACAGUUUGCCGCCUGAUUGUGACGCGGUG